CAGAUAAUCUGCAUGGUGCUACUUCAAAUUUAUGAAUGGUUUGUCGGCAUGUUACUGGGAUUUAGAGGCAGAAACGUCUUACUCCUGACUACAUGGAGUUCUCAAUAAAUUAUUCUUGUCAUUUUUUUCGAGUCUAUGCUUCCUAUCUCCGGGUCAUCCGCCUCCCAAAGACUACUCUGAGGUAUGAAAGUAAAGC